rnacentral:rRNA from 1 species
GCAUAUCAAUAAGCGGAGGAAAAGAAACCAACAGGGAUUGCCCUAGUAACGGCGAGUGAAGCGGCAACAGCUCAAAUUUGAAAUCUGGCUCUUUCAGAGUCCGAGUUGUAAUUUGCAGAGGGCGCUUUGGCUUUGGCAGCGGUCCAAGUUCCUUGGAACAGGACGUCACAGAGGGUGAGAAUCCCGUACGUGGUCGCUAGCUAUUGCCGUGUAAAGCCCCUUCGACGAGUCGAGUUGUUUGGGAAUGCAGCUCUAAAUGGGAGGUAAAUUUCUUCUAAAGCUAAAUAUUGGCCAGAGACCGAUAGCGCACAAGUAGAGUGAUCGAAAGAUGAAAAGCACUUUGGAAAGAGAGUCAAACAGCACGUGAAAUUGUUGAAAGGGAAGCGCUUGCAGCCAGACUUGCUUGCAGUUGCUCAUCCGGGCUUUUGCCCGGUGCACUCUUCUGCAGGCAGGCCAGCAUCAGUUUGGGCGGUGGGAUAAAGGUCUCUGUCAUGUACCUCUCUUCGGGGAGGCCUUAUAGGGGAGGCGACAUACCACCAGCCUAGACUGAGGUCCGCGCAUCUGCUAGGAUGCUGGCGUAAUGGCUGUAAGCGGCCCGUCUUGAAACACGGACCAAGGAGUCUAACAUCUAUGCGAGUGUUUGGGUGUCAAGCCCGAGCGCGUAAUGAAAGUGAACGGAGGUGGGAACCCGCAAGGGUGCACCAUCGACCGAUCCUGAAGUUUACGGAAGGAUUUGAGUAAGAGCAUGGCUGUUGGGACCCGAAAGAUGGUGAACUAUGCUUGAAUAGGGUGAAGCCAGAGGAAACUCUGGUGGAGGCUCGCAGCGGUUCUGACGUGCAAAUCGAUCGUCAAAUUUGGGCAUAGGGGCGAAAGACUAAUCGAACUAUCUAGUAGCUGGUUCCUGCGAG